rnacentral:pre_miRNA from 1 species
GAAAUCCAUGGGGAUGGUCAGUGCAAACUGUAUCUCGGUGGAACCUCCA